CUAGAUAUAUAAAUAUAAAUAAAAAAAUAAAAUAAAAAUUUUAUAUUAUAUGUUUUCAAAUUCGAAUUUUUUUAUAAUUUUUUUUUUGAAAUUUUUUUUUUUUGAAAUUUUUAUUUAUUUUUUGAAAUUUUCUUUUUGUAAUUCGAAAAUACUUUUUGAAACUAUUUUUCAAAUUUUUAUUUUCAAAUUUUUAAUAUUUAUUUUUUAUUUUAUAAAAUUUUAAACUUC
rnacentral:lncRNA from 1 species